UACGGGGGGAGCAAGCGUUGUUCGGAUUUACUGGGCGUAAAGGGCGGGUAGGCGGCCACCGCAAGUCGACUGUGAAAUCUCCGGGCUUAACCCGGAAAGGUCAGCCGAUACUGCGGGGCUAGAGUGCAGAAGGGGCAACUGGAAUUCUCGGUGUAGCGGUGAAAUGCGUAGAUAUCGAGAGGAACACCUGCGGCGAAGGCGGGUUGCUGGGCUGACACUGACGCUGAAGCGCGAAAGCUAGGGGAGCGAACGGG
rnacentral:rRNA from 1 species